rnacentral:rRNA from 1 species
UACGUAGGGUGCAAGCGUUGUCCGGAAUUAUUGGGCGUAAAGAGCUCGUAGGCGGUUUGUCGCGUCUGCCGUGAAAAUCCGGGGCUCAACCCCGGACUUGCGGUGGGUACGGGCAGACUAGAGUGUGGUAGGGGAGACUGGAAUUCCUGGUGUAGCGGUGAAAUGCGCAGAUAUCAGGAGGAACACCGAUGGCGAGGGCAGGUCUCUGGGCCACUACUGACGCUGAGAAGCGAAAGCGUGGGGAGCGAACAGG